rnacentral:rRNA from 1 species
ACGAACGCUGGCGGCGUGCUUAACACAUGCAAGUCGAACGGAAAGGCCCUGCUUUUGUGGGGUGCUCGAGUGGCGAACGGGUGAGUAACACGUGAGUAACCUGCCCUUGACUUUGGGAUAACUUCAGGAAACUGGGGCUAAUACCGGAUAGGAGCUCCUGCUGCAUGGUGGGGGUUGGAAAGUUUCGGCGGUUGGGGAUGGACUCGCGGCUUAUCAGCUUGUUGGUGGGGUAGUGGCUUACCAAGGCUUUGACGGGUAGCCGGCCUGAGAGGGUGACCGGCCACAUUGGGACUGAGAUACGGACCAGACUCCUACGGGAGGCAGCAGUGGGGAAUAUUGCACAAUGGGCGGAAGCCUGAUGCAGCAACGCCGCGUGCGGGAUGACGGCCUUCGGGUUGUAAACCGCUUUCGCCUGUGACGAAGCGUGAGUGACGGUAAUGGGUAAAGAAGCACCGGCUAACUACGUG